rnacentral:lncRNA from 1 species
UCCUAUGAUGGCAUGAAAUCUUUGAGACCUGAAUUUUUAAUUUGAUGUCAGCUAUAAGCAUACUCACUGAGGAUCCAUUUAAUUAUUUUUAUCUUUUUUUAUUUUUUUUUUUUUUUUAAUUUGUUAUUUACUCAUUUUAUAUGAAUAUGAAUGAUGAAUAAGCACUGGGCUCUGAGCAUAUAAUUUGAUGCACAUUGCUAGCCUAGAAAGCUAUAUCUGACUC